CCUAGUGAUGGCCGCCAAACGCCACCCAGUACGAAACAAAACAACAUUCCUUAUUCCAACAAACAAACAAACCUUCUUUCUUUCCGUUUUUGAUCAUAGAAGAAUACGAAGAAGAGGGUUUGAAGAAUAGAAUAACAGAAACAAUGGGCACUCUCGAGUCAUGGAGAAGAGCCUACGGCGCUCUCAAAGACUCCACCAAAGUCGGUCUCGCUCAUGUCAACAGCGAUUACGCGGACUUGGACGUUGCCGUAGUCAAAGCCACCAACCACGUCGAGUGUCCUCCCAAAGAGAGACACCUUAGAAAAAUUUUGUUGGGAACUUCUGCGUCGCGGCCUCGAG